rnacentral:lncRNA from 1 species
GACCAUUUUCCUGUGGUAAUGGGGCUCCAUCAAGGAUUGGCGCUGAGCCCCCUGUUGUUCGCCUUAGUGAUAGAUGCUCUAACCCGUCAUAUCCAAGGGGAUGUGCCUUGGUGUAUGCUCUUUGCUGAUGGCUGAGCCCCCUGUUGUUCGCCUUAGUGAUAGAUGCUCUGACCCGACAUAUCCAAGGGGAUGUGCCUUGGUGUAUGCUCUUUGCUGAUUGAUAUAAUAUUGAUAGACGAGACGAGGGCCGGUGUUAGUGAAAGGUUAGAGGUAUGGAGACAN